AUUGAACGCUGGCGGAAUGCUUUACACAUGCAAGUCGAACGGCAGCACGGACUUCGGUCUGGUGGCGAGUGGCGAACGGGUGAGUAAUGUAUCGGAACGUGCCCAGUCGUGGGGGAUAACGUAGUGAAAAUUACGCUAAUACCGCAUACGAUCUAUGGAUGAAAGCGGGGGAUCGCAAGACCUCGCGCGAUUGGAGCGGCCGAUAUCAGAUUAGGUAGUUGCUGGGGUAAAGGCCCACCAAGCCAACGAUCUGUAGCUGGUCUGAGAGGACGACCAGCAACACUGGAAAUGAGACACGGUCCAGACUCCUACGGGAGGCAGCAGUGGGGAAUUUUGGACAAUGGGCGAAGGCCUGAUCCAGCCAUUCCGCGUGCAGGAUGAAGGCCCUCGGGUUGUAAACUGCUUUUGUACAGAACGAAAAGGUUUCUACUAAUACUAGGAGCUCAUGACGGUACUGUAAGAAUAAGCACCGGCUAACUACGUGCCAGCCGCCGCCGUAA
rnacentral:rRNA from 1 species